rnacentral:sRNA from 1 species
CUUCUUGGGUGUUGGACAGAUGUCUUCAAAAUCACCAGUAGCAAUUCUUUUUGUUGAAGAAAGCUUGGUUAGCUCCGUAGCAUCCCUCCUUUCGGACCACUUAGUUGCUUUCACACCAUCACAGAAUCCAGACUCCUCAGGUGGUGUUAAGGUAUGUACAGGAUCAACAAGAUCAUACUCAUCGAUCAACAAAAAAGGGCAUCACCUUAUCUUGUGAGCUGGCUUAGCAAUUGCUGAGUUAUUUGCUAGCUCUGCUUCCAACUCUUUUAUCUACAAACAGAACGAAGUGUGCUUGUACUAUCACGCAUGGUAUAUAUGAUCAGUAAUGGUCUGGUAUGAAAUAUCCUACCAUCAUAUCCCUAAUCUUCUCAAAUAAAAUUGCCUUUACAGGCUCUUUGCCAAUCCACCAACAAAGCUCAACUGUCAAACCCUUGGAAGAAGCCCGAACAUUCCGAUCUGGAUGAUCAAGCAGCUGGGGAAGCAUCUUCAAUACUUUUUUUGGUGGUACUACCUUAGUAGGAACUUACCUAAGUGCUUGAAACAUUACAUCGAUAGCAGGCACAACUGCUUUAGCCAUUUUGUUCUUUACAGCCUUCUCCAUUGAUUCAACGAAAACCUCCGCCGCGUCCAACCCCACCCAGAGGAGGAGCGCAGCCUGAGCCUUCUCGACGAUCCUAGGACGGCCGGUGAGGCACUUUGCGACAAUCGCAUCACAGAUCCCCUUCGCAUACCUGAUCAGCAGCAUCGGACGCCCGCUGGAAAGCGAGCACGGCAUCCAGCGCCUUCUCCCGCACCGACACGUUGCAAUCCGCCACGGAAUUCUGAAACAACGGCCCGAACUCGCGGAGGCGGGCGUCCUUGGGGUCGGCGAUGGAGUCGCAGAGGGCGGCGAGGUCGACGUUGGCGUCGCGCCGCACCUUCCAGCUCUUGUGCCGGAGCCGCUCGUCCCACGGCAGCCACUUCGCCUCCAUGAGGAGCCUCUCGUCCUCCGCCGACAUGGCCGGCCGCGGCCUGCCCGCCUCCGCCUCCGCCUCCAUCCGAUGGAGCGAGCGGUACACCACAGUG